CAACAAUGGAGGACCAAGGUCAUUAAUAUAAGAAGAGUCUAUUCCUGUCUGUGUUUUGAAGGCAUAGUGUUUCAAAAGUGCAGAAGAAAGUUAAGACUGACUAGGAAUUCUAAGUGAGGAAGAGUCCCUCUCCCAUUCCACUGCAGCCAUGAGGAGAAUAUUUGUACUUCUUUUUUUACCUAUGGAACUUCAUCAGGACCCACUUUAACAAGCAGGAGUCUUACAAUAUUUUAAAGGGAUUUGACAAGGGAAGAAGGAAGAAGACCAGUGCUGACCAAGAGAAGAAGAGUCCAUUGCCAAGCUUUGUCCAGCAGCCAAUAUCUGAUAAUGGAGCAGAAGAUGAGACUGACCUCAACUUUUUAACAAGACUGGAGAUGAAGGACUAACUACUGUCUAACCUGAAAUCUUUGGUAGGGGUUUAUGCUGGCAUUGAUCCUGUUUCCAAAAGCAGCUCGCCAUGUUUCUGUGAGAGUCCAAAGAGAUCAGCUGGAACCUGAAAAUAAAGACUGACUGCCAUCAAUUUUGUUUCUUUGACAGCAGACAAAUAUGCUUCAACAAUAGUGCAGAGAUUAAGGUUUGGGCUGCAAGUGAUGGACACACUAAAGAGCUUAACUCGCAGAAUUCAAUGGACUGUGCUGAGUACAUUGUUAUCAGAAAGUGAUGGACACAGUAAACAGCUUACCUCACAGAAUUCAAUGAACUGUGCCAAGUACAUUGUUAUAAUAAAAUGAUGGACAGUUGGACACUCUAAAUAUCUUAACUUGUAGGAUUCAGUGCACUGUGCU